rnacentral:rRNA from 1 species
CCUACGGGGGGCAGCAGUGGGGAAUAUUGCACAAUGGGGGAAACCCUGAUGCAGCAACGCCGCGUGAGCGAUGAAGGCCUUCGGGUCGGAAAGCUCUGUCCUAAGGGAAGAAUACUGACGGUACCUGAGGAGGAAGCCCCGGCUAACUACGUGCCAGCAGCCGCGGUAAUACGUAGGGGGCUAGCGUUAUCCGGAAUUACUGGGCGUAAAGGGUGCGUAGGCGGCCCUUCAAGUCAGAGGGGAAAGGCUACGGUUCAACCGUAGUAGGCCUUUGAAACUGUAGGGCUCGAGUGCAGGGGAGGAGAGUGGAAUUCCCAGUGUAGCGGUGACAUGCGUAGAUAUUCGGAGGAACACCCCGUGCGAAGGCGGCUCUCUGGAAUGUAACUGACCCUGAGGCACGAACGCGUGGGGAGCGAACAGGAUUAGCUACCCGAGUAGUC